CGGGUGCAGCAGGCGCGAAAACUUUACAAUGCCGGCAACGGCGAUAAGGGAACCUCGAGUGCCGGGUUACAAAUCUGGCUGUCGUGAUGCCUAAAAAGCAUUGCAUAGCAAGGGCCGGGCAAGACCGGUGCCAGCCGCCGCGGUAACACCGGCGGCUCGAGUGGUAACCGUUAUUAUUGGGUCUAAAGGGUCUGUAGCCGGCCGGGUAAGUCUCUUGGGAAAUCUGGCAGCUUAACUGUCAGGCUUUCAGGAGAUACUGCCUGGCUCGAGGCCGGGAGAGGUGAGAGGUACUUCAGGGGUAGGGGUGAAAUCUUGUAAUCCUUGAAGGACCACCAGUGGCGAAGGCGUCUCACCAGAACGGACCUGACGGCAAGGGACGAAAGCUAGGGGCACGAACCGGAUUAGAUACCCGGGUAGUCCUAGCCGUAAACGAUACUCGCUAGGUGUCGGCCACGGUGCGACCGUGGUCGGUGCCGUAGGGAAGCCGUGAAGCGAGCCACCUGGGAAGUACGGCCGCAAGGCUGAAACUUAAAGGAAUUGGCGGGGGAGCAC
rnacentral:rRNA from 1 species